GUAAAUAAGAGCUGUGCCUGAAUCCACUGUUGUCACGGAGCUAAAGGCAGUGAAUUCCGCUAAAAUGGUCAGGUUUUGGUAAAGAGUUGGAAGCCUUGUGCAGCUGAGAUCCAUUCCACGGAGUGAUACCAAUCUACAUGUUCCAGACGUUUUUCCAGAGCUUUGUGGAUUCCCAGUCUAGGUGGCUGGGUGGCAAGCCAACCGUGUUUGUGACUCUGACUUUAGACGGAUUGCCAGGAUCUUCCUCAUCUUUAUGGUGGUAGGACAAACACUAACACAAACUUAAAAGGGCCCCAACGGUGAGAAAUGAACUCUUGUCAAUAAAGGCAAGUGGAACUAAGGACGAACUGAGCUCAACGAAGUUAAAAGGAAAGGGUUUUUUUUUUUAUGUGCACACUUUAUUAUUUUAGUUUGUUAUUUUUCAUACCUGCUUUCUUAUGUAUGUACCAUCCCUGUGUAUUUAAUACACUUAAUGCAAACUGUAA